rnacentral:lncRNA from 1 species
GUUUCUUGGCAAUUUGUUAAUUAGUAAUUAAUUAGAGGACGUUCCCUAAUUAAUUUAAUCAUAAGGAGAGACAUGGUGGUGAGAAGCGUCUUCCACCCCCAUAACUAAUCUAUUGAACCAAUCAAGAUAAUUUAAAUUUCAAUGAUCAACCCAAACAAUCAAAGUGGAUCCAUAUCUUCAACUAGGCUUUUCUCAUAUUGAUUUA